AACGAACGCUGGCGGCAUGCCUAACACAUGCAAGUCGAACGAAGCCUUCGGGCUUAGUGGCGCACGGGUGCGUAACGCGUGGGAAUCUGCCCUUUGGUUCGGAAUAACAAUUGGAAACGACUGCUAAUACCGGAUGAUGACGAAAGUCCAAAGAUUUAUCGCCAGAGGAUGAGCCCGCGUAGGAUUAGCUAGUUGGUGUGGUAAAGGCGCACCAAGGCGACGAUCCUUAGCUGGUCUGAGAGGAUGAUCAGCCACACUGGGACUGAGACACGGCCCAGACUCCUACGGGAGGCAGCAGUGGGGAAUAUUGGACAAUGGGCGAAGGCCUGAUCCAGCAAUGCCGCGUGAGUGAUGAAGGCCCUAGGGUUGUAAAGCUCUUUUACCCGGGAUGAUAAUGACAGUACCGGGAGAAUAAGCCCCGGCUAACUCCGUGCCAGCCGCCGCGGUAAUAC
rnacentral:rRNA from 1 species